rnacentral:ncRNA from 1 species
AGUGCGUCUUUCGAUGACGGUUAGGCAGGUUGGUGGCUAUGGAGGUUGGAAUUCGCUGAAAAGUGUGUAAUAACUCACCUGUUAAAUCAACCAGCCCUUAAAACGGAUGGCGCUAGA